AUGCUCACCGUCCACAGUUGCAGCAAAAAACAAAUAGCAUUGAGCGCAACAGCCUGCAUACUGAUGUUCUCCCUGCUCCUCUUCAUUUUUUGUUCACUUCAGACCAUACUCCUCAACAAUAAACCUUUCGUCAUCACCACUGCAUCUUCUAGAUCAUUGCAUGAGAUCGACUCCAAUUCAAAGCCUAUUAACGGCAAGGUGGAAACUGGACAGCAGAUGGAAGGCGGCACUCAUAACAUUACCAACGUGACUGAGAAUGCGGCAUCUGGAUGGAGCAUUGUGAAGGAGGAGCUGACAUUUUCAGCUGGAAGUGCCCCUUUCAGUAGCUGCCAUGCUUCCACCAUUGUAGAGAUUGGGAAAGACAACUUUUUGGUGGCUUAUUUUGGUGGAUCCAAGGAAGGUGCUCCGGAUGUCAAAAUCUGGUUGCAGAGAUACAGUGAUGGUCACUGGCAUCCUCCAGAAGUUGCUGAUGAACAAGAUGGGGUGCCCAUGUGGAAUCCUGUACUAUUUCAGCUCCCUUCUCAUGAGCUGCUCCUCUUCUACAAGAUUGGUCAGGAAGUUCAGAAGUGGAGUGGUGCCAUGAAAAGAUCGCUGGAUGGUGGCAUAUCCUGGUCAGAGAGAGAGCAGCUACCGCCUGGUAUUCUUGGCCCUAUUAAGAACAAGAUUUGGCAGGUGCACAGGAUACGUUCUCGGGGAGGAGGGGCGGUGGGGAACCGGCGGGCGACUAGGGUUGCGCCCCCGAGUCGCCCGAGAGCGGACGACGCGGGGGGAGGGCCUUUCCUGCUUGAAGAUGGUCGCCUGCUAUGUGGGUCCUCGGUAGAAAGCUGGAACUCUUGGGGUGCAUGGUUGGAGGUCACAAAAGAUGGUGGCAGGACAUGGCGGAAGCACGGUCCUAUAUACAUAGAAGGUGAAACACUUGGGGUGAUUCAGCCAGUUCCAUACCAAACUGCCAAUGGGACAAUUCGGAUGCUUUUGCGAUCUUUUGAGACAAUUGGCCGUGUCUGCCUGGCGGAUUCUGCAGAUGGAGGUGUGACAUGGAGCUACGCGCACAAGACUGAGCUUCCUAAUCCAAACUCUGGGAUCGAUGGAGUUAAGAUGAAGGAUGGAAGAGUACUAGUUGCUUACAACACUUUCUCCAGGGGCACACUUAAGAUUGCAGUCUCCACGGAUGACGGUGAUUCAUGGAACGAGGUAAUGACACUAGAGGACACCAAAGGUAUGGAGUUCUCAUAUCCUGCGGUAAUCCAGACCAUGGAUGAGCUCGUACAUAUUACAUACACAUACAACCGGACGCAGAUUAAGCAUGUCGUUCUUCGACAUAGUGAGACAUGA
rnacentral:rRNA from 1 species